GAGGAGCCCGCGGCUGAUUAGCUAGUUGGUGAGGUAAUGGCUCACCAAGGCAACGAUCAGUAUCCGGUCUGAGAGGACGGUCGGACACACUGGAACUGAGACACGGUCCAGACUCCUACGGGAGGCAGCAGUGGGGAAUUUUUGGCAAUGGGGGAAACCCUGACCAAGCAACGCCGCGUGGGUGAUGAAGUCUCUUGGGACGUAAAACCCUUUCGACGGGGAAGAAACCGCAAGGUUGACGGUACCCGUAGAAGAAGCCCCGGCUAACUCCGUGCCAGCAGCCGCGGUAAUACGGGGGGGGCAAGCGUUGUUCGGAAUUACUGGGCGUAAAGGGUGCGUAGGCGGCGCUCUAAGUCGGAUGUGAAAACUCUGGGCUCAACCCAGAGCCUGCAUCCGAAACUGGAGUGCUAGAGUUCUGGAGGGGGUAGCGGAAUUCCUGGUGUAGCGGUGAAAUGCGUAGAUAUCAGGAGG
rnacentral:rRNA from 1 species